UACGUAGGGGGCAGGCGUUGUCCGGAAUCAUUGGGCGUAAAGCGCGUGUAGGCGGCUUCGUAAGUCCGUUGUGAAAGUCCAGGGCUCAACCCUGGAAUGCCGAUGGAUACUGCGGAGCUAGAGUCCGGAAGAGGCGAGUGGAAUUCCUGGUGUAGCGGUGAAAUGCGCAGAUAUCAGGAGGAACACCAAUGGCGAAGGCAGCUCGCUGGGACGGUACUGACGCUGAGACGCGAAAGCGUGGGGAGCAAACAGG
rnacentral:rRNA from 1 species